rnacentral:RNase_P_RNA from 1 species
CAAGUUGACCGGGUGAUCGCGCUCUGCCACGUGCAGAGUGAGGAAAGUCCGCGCUCCACAGGGCACGGUGCUGGCUAACUGCCAGGCGGGGCGACCCGACGGCAUAGUGCAACAGAGAGCAGAUUGCCCUAUUACAUAGGGUGAGGGUGAAAGGGUGCGGUAAGAGCGCACCGGCGGCGGUGGUGACACCGGCGGCCAGGCAAACCCCACCGGGAGCAAGACCAAGCAGGAACGAGGGGCGGCCCGUCCCGUUCGAGUUCCGGGUAGGUUGCGCGAGGCGUCAGGUAACUGGCGUCCCAGAUAGAUGAUCACCACCCGCUCCGGCGGGCACAGAACGCGGCUUACAGGUUGGCUUGAGUC